UUUUGAGGCUAUUUUGAAUUGAAAGAGAAGAAUGAUGGACAAGGGGAGGGGCAUGCGGACUUCCUUAUGGGCAUUUCUGUUUAGAAGCAGGACAUCCAGGUCACUGCCUAUCUAGAUGUAUCCCUAAGCACAGCCUUGUUCUUUUCCCUUCCUCAACCACCUUCCCACGUCACUUUUUAAAAUCAUCUUGAAGAGUACUUGGUGUUGCUGAACUUCCUUCCCCCUGUGCUUCCAGGUGUAUUUAUCACCCAAUAACC
rnacentral:lncRNA from 1 species